CCCCCCCCCCACCUCCCAGGCCACCCCACAAGCCAGGAACAGGACUCCGGGCCACUAGGCUUUCUGCCUUUCCACGAUGUCUCUUAAAAUCAAUCUCAAAUCUGCAGUUUCUUUUUAAUACGCCUCGGACACGUUAGACCCACUUGGUAUUCUCAAAGCAGGCAGAACCCGGAGGAAAACGCCAGGAACUCCAUCCGAGUUUCGGGUGGGGAUGGGCUGGCGGCAAUGUGAGCCUCGCGGCUCCGAGGGAGGGGUCCCGAGGGGUGUUUCAGUCCCAGGAAGCCGCUGCUCCCGUGCAGGGCCCCCACCUGGCCGGCAGAGGAGCAUUUGUCUGUACAAUCCGUGUCAAGGGACAGUUCAUCCCGUUUAGGAUAGACAGUAGGUUGGGAGAGGCCUGUCAAGAGUAAGGAGCCACGACCAGUUAUAUUUUCAGAACACUUUCCUAGUUAAUUUGGCUCUUACACUUGGCGGGAAAAUCACUGAUGCCCUCCAAGAGAAUGACCUAUGGUUUAAAGCCAUCGUGCUCCCUGAGCACCAACUCUUUCUGAGGCUGGAAGCCGUGGAGGGACCCACCGGCAGGAAGCAGUCAGCAAAGUGGGCCUCACGGAGGUCCUGUAAUUUAUAGAAAACAAACGGAAGACUUUCAGCCAUCCUCUGUUUUGUUCAUAAAAUACCGACAGCAAGUUUUUCCACACGGACCGUAUUGGUAGAAAACAAUCACCGAGGACUUCAAAGAAAAUAAUUAGUAAUGCGGCACGGGUGGAAGAUUGAUUGCGGGGGCUAAGAACAUCGGCAGGCUCGGCAGGCUUCUGUUCUGAUGCAAUUAAGCUUUGCUCCUUCCAGCUCUGCCUAGGACCUGGGUCAGGCCCCGCGAGACCUGGGUGUGAGAUGGAAGCCCAGUCUGGACCUGCUCCAGCCUUGAGUCCUGAAGAAGUCCGUGGGAAUAGGCAAGAACUUGGCGCCCAUGGUCCAAGUAAGGCCAUCGGGGCCGUUGGGUCAUGCUUCCUGGUACCUGGGCUGCUGGCCAGACCCUCACACGGUAUCAGAAUCCCCCCGCCACUACCUGCUUGAAGCUGGGCGGCUCCAGGACCACCCCGAGCUGGCCGUGCUCCGUCCUCACCACCCAGGCUGGCCCCCUGGGUAGCAGCCGCCGUCUUGAUUGCGCCUGGGUUUCCUCUGCGCUUUGCACUUCGGCGAUGUGGGCUGUGAACCUCUCCACGGAAGACCCCAGUGCUACUCUGGAGCUGGGCCUCUUUUCCCAACCCUGUCCACCCUAGCCAAGCAUGGCUCAGCCCAUUUGUUUGCUUUUGUUGUUUAUGAGAGUGGAAAAUUGGAAACCAACCAAAUGCCCCCAAAUAAGGGAUGGUUAUGGAAAUGUAGAAAUGUUGACCACUGUGAAAGGGUAUGCAGCCGUGGCAAUUCUUUUUACGAAGAGUCUUCUGCUUAGCAUGACAUUGAGACCGCCAUGUUGAACUGGGCACCUCUCAUGGCGUCCAAGGGGCCUCAAGGGCAGGACUUCAUGGUCUGAGCCAGCGAGCUUCGUUUCUGGCUGCCCAUCUGAAUCCUACUCACGCUGACGUUGGAACUCGCCCAAGACAUAUGGAACCAGAAUCUCUGGGGCUCCAUAUUUUUAAGCGGCUCUCAAGUCAAAGCUACUUCCCAGCGCAGCUGCCUCAAACCGUUGCCUUUGGGUCUUCAGCAACACGAGCUCCUUGAGAGGGCUGGUUGGCGAGACGCUAUUUCCUAGACACCAGACAGAAACAUGUAAGCCAAGCACGGGAACGUCUGGGCUCGUGGUGACCAUCUUCGGCGUCACGCGAGAGCGUCUGUCUGGCACCUCGUAGGCUGCGGAAACAGGCGUGAAGCAGCCAGCGCUUCUGGGGGUUUCGUAUCUGGAGUGUAGCAAAUGCUACCUAGGACAUCGUGCUAUCCGGGUGCGACUGGCUAAGGGGCAAUUGUGUCCGUUUGUCCACAAGACCACUCGUGCUGUGUGGUCCUAAGUGUGCUGGUCGACCACACGCCCACCCCAGAUUCUCUGGCUGACUCCUGGACCUUUGGCUACAACCACAGUGGGAAAGGGAGGUACUGGGUGGCCCCGGAAGGGAUGAAUGAAUGAAAGGGUAGAGCUAGGGAGGAGAGUGUCACCAGCUACGUGAGAAUCAACAGCUUGGAGACCUUCUAUAACUCCCAGAUCACCCUGGGCCCGCCACCCCCCCCCCAAAUCCUUCAAUGUGCUGUCAUCAGUUUGUCAUUUAGGAUUUUAUUAAAGUCACCUGGAAAACCUGGUCUUUUAUCUGAGGCAAGCUGACGUCUCUGACGCGUCUCUGGGCGUUCUGGGGGCCCUCGAUUUUCUUGCCUGCCUGUGGCCCCGAUUCCUGUUGGAUACCCAGGUCUCCGUUCUGUGCUAUUGUUCUUCCUGUAGGAUGUCACCCCACCUCGUUUAGUCACCCGAUCUCUUCUCACUCCAAAGUCCCGUCUUGGGCUCAAGGCUUGGGUGGAGCUGACUCCCAGACCCAGUUCAGCAGAGGCCAGAGACAUUGAAAGCUCGCCACUGCCUU